CUAGAGUGUCGGCCUUGCUGCCUAUGCUCUACCCAUUGUCUUUUGCGUACCUUAGUUUCCUCGGCGGGCUCGCCUGCCGAUUGGACAAUUCUCAAACCAUUUUGUAGUUGCAAUCAGCGUCUAGAAAACAAAUAAUUAGUUA
rnacentral:misc_RNA from 1 species